UUUCCCUUUCUCAUACAUUUUUCUGUCCUAGAGAAAGUGGGAGAUUUAAAAAUUAUGUAUUCUGUCUUUGCUUGGGUACUGUGAAGUCAGAAAUUACUGAUGCUGAGGAAGAUCCUGAGGAUAAAGCAACAAACGCAGUCUGGAACCAGUGACAUUAAAGACCUGAACCCUGCACCUCAUCUUGGGACAAUUCUAAGGGCUACCUGAGUUCCACAUAUUAUCAAGGACUCAGCUGAAUCUUUUGGUAAGACUGUGUCCCAGUUCAGCUUCUCUCUCUGCAUGUUUCCUUCCCAUCAGCAUGCCUGAUGCUGAUCCUAUGAGCCUGUCCUAAAACACUCUUUUACGAUAAUGUCCCUCUCAGAGUCUGUUUCCUGGGACCUGAACUGUAACAGGGGUCUUUGCUUCUCGGAGUACUGACCUAGCCGAAUUUUUUUUUUUUAAUGUUUUUGACUCUGGAAAACAUUUCCUUAGUGAACAGAGGUGGAUGGGGAGUGGGGCUGGAGGAGGGAAUGGUUCUCAUUAAAAGGAAUGCUCAGGGAGAGAGUCUUGUGCUUUUUGUCCCCAGAAAUAUAGGGUCAAGGCUAGUGGGAAAAUGAAAUGUUGGAAUAGCCAGUGUGAGUUAGAGACAGAGACAGAGAGUGAGUCUCAAAACUUGGCGUGGGAAGUAGGGUCAGAUUGUGAGAAUGAGCUGAGGUUUAGCACGGGAUUGUGAUUUUAUAAAUCACAGUAUUCAAAACUCAAGUGUGUAUAAGCAAUGCCAAGACUGUUAAACAAGAAAUGACAAAACUCUCCAAUCUUUUCCUUCCUCUUGGAGAUAAUCAGAGCCAUCUGUUCCACCAUUUUUGAAGCUGCUUCAAAAUAAUUAUAUUCAGGUCUUACCUAAAAUUAUACUUUAUUAAAAAAAGGUUUAAAUGGAACUACACUCUAUUGUUGGGUGUCACUUUGCUCAUUCAACAGCAUUUAUUUAAUAAGAUUUUUGCCUGCCAUGUCUAUAUGUGUCCUGUACCAGACUGCAUGCUGGGUCAGCACUACAAACUGUCUUUAUAGGAGAAAGAAGAACUAAAGCAAAGAGAAAACAACUAAAAUCGUUUAAAUUGUAAAGAACGACAGAAUAAGUGGAAGCAUUUGUGAUUUAAGAUAUUUUUAGUCAAGUUUGGUGCCUGCAUCUACGAUGCCUCACUAUUUACUAUGUGCCAAAUUAAACAAUAACUUUUGGGCUUAUAGCAGUCUCAGUAUAUGUGAUUAUUGCAAUCUCAGCUACAAUCAGUUUGAAUAGUCACCUUAAGGAAAGAAGAAAGCCACCUAUUUUAUAUUUUAAUUGGGCAGAAGUAAUAUAUCAAUAAGCUAACACCUCAGCUGGGCUGAAUUUGUCUGAUUAACUUGCUUCUACUUAUACCCUUUGCCAGUGGAGCAGAAGGUGCUCAACUGUGAAAAAAAGGAAGCCCCAGGCAUUUUCAUUGUGAUAUAUAUAUAUAUACACACACAUAUAUAUUUACUCCUAACAAUUUAAUCCUCAUAAACUUAUAGGGAAAGUAGUCUUAAAUCAUUUUUCAGAUGGAAAACUUGAGACCAGCGUCAGAGCUAGACAAGGGCCAUGGAGGGCCAAGGUCAUGGCAGAGCCUCAAUUGUCUCCACAGGGAGCGGUUAUGGACAACCUAAGGUAAUAACUGGAUCCAUAAAGAUGGAAGAAAGAAUGACUGAGCAGGUAAGUAAAGGGUUAGUGAACGAAAACUCUAAGGAGGGCAAGGUAGUACAGUGAAAACGACGGGUGACUUCACAGUUGGACGUAAGAGCUGAAUAACCACGGGUGUCCUGGAAUUCUUUUAAGUCUUGGUUUUCUUUUAUGUAAAAAGGAAUAAUAAUAGCUACAUCAGAGAUUGGUUUUGAAGAUUAGAUGAAACAAUGUAUGUAAAACAGGUACCUAUAUUCCUUUCUUCUUCUUU
rnacentral:lncRNA from 1 species